rnacentral:sRNA from 1 species
UGGAUGCAGGUCUGUGGCCUCAGAGUCAGGGCCCCUUGCUGCUGCAGGACCGCAGGGUCAGGGAGGGGCCUGCUGUUCCAGCAAGACUUUGGGGUGCAGCCGGCCUGUGGCCCACAGGAAAAUGAGACCUGUGGACAUCCGGGGCCCUGCCAGACGUGGCUCGGCCGGACGAGGGUGGUCACUGCAGGCGCAGGUGUGGCUCCCUGCCGGACCCAGCCUUUCCUCUGUCCUGUGUGCCUGGACCUCUGUGACUUCCCAGCUGGGCCUGUGGUGUUUGGGAGGCUCCCAGGCAGCUGCAAAGGGGACCCCUGUGAGGGGCAGGGAGGCCUCGGCCCCACGACGGGUGUGUGCUGCCUGCAGGUACUUCUGUCAGCUGAUUGACGGCCUGGAGUACCUGCACAGCCAGGGCAUUGUGCACAAGGACAUCAAGCCCGGGAACCUGCUGCUUACCACCGGUGGCACCCUCAAAAUCUCCGACCUGGGCGUGGCCGAGGUAGGCACGUGCUAGGGGGGGCCCUGGGGCGCCCCCUCCCGGGCACUCCCUGAGGGCUGCACGGCACCGCCACAGGCACUGCACCCGUUCGCGGCGGACGACACCUGCCGGACCAGCCAGGGCUCCCCGGCUUUCCAGCCGCCCGAGAUUGCCAACGGCCUGGACACCUUCUCCGGCUUCAAGGUGGACAUCUGGUCAGCUGGGGUCACCCUCUACAACAUCACCACGGGUCUGUACCCCUUCGAAGGGGACAACAUCUACAAGUUGUUUGAGAACAUCGGGAAGGGGAGCUACGCCAUCCCGGGCGACUGUGGCCCCCCGCUCUCUGACCUGCUGAAAGGGAUGCUUGAGUACGAGCCGGCCAAGAGGUUCUCCAUCCGGCAGAUCCGGCAGCACAGCUGGUUCCGGAAGAAACAUCCUCCGGCUGAAGCACCAGUGCCCAUCCCACCGAGCCCAGACACCAAGGACCGGUGGCGCAGCAUGACUGUGGUGCCGUACUUGGAGGACCUGCACGGCGC